rnacentral:rRNA from 1 species
GAUGAACGCUGGCGGCGUGCCUAAUACAUGCAAGUCGAGCGAACAGACGAGGAGCUUGCUCCUCUGACGUUAGCGGCGGACGGGUGAGUAACACGUGGAUAACCUACCUAUAAGACUGGGAUAACUUCGGGAAACCGGAGCUAAUACCGGAUAAUAUAUUGAACGGCAUGGUUCAUUCAUAAAGGACGGUUUUCUUGUAACUUAUAGUUGGAUCCCCGCCGCAUUGGCUAGUUGGUAAGGUAACGGCUUACCAAGGCAACGAUGCGUAGCCGACCUGAGAGGGUGAUCGGCCACACUGGAACUGAGACACGGUCCAGACUCCUACGGGAGGCAGCAGUAGGGAAUCUUCCGCAAUGGGCGAAAGCCUGACGGAGCAACGCCGCGUGAGUGAUGAAGGUCUUCGGAUCGUAAAACUCUGUUAUUAGGGAAGAACAAAUGUGUAAGUAACUAUGCACGUCUUGACGGUACCUAAUCAGAAAGCCACGGCUAACUACGUG